rnacentral:rRNA from 2 species
GAUAAGGUCCGUGUUCGAAAGGGAAACAGCCCAGACCACCAGCUAAGGUCCCAAAAUAUAUGUUAAGUGGAAAAGGAUGUGGCGUUGCCCAGACAACUAGGAUGUUGGCUUAGAAGCAGCCAUCAUUUAAAGAGUGCGUAAUAGCUCACUAGUCGAGUGACACUGCGCCGAAAAUGUACCGGGGCUAAACAUAUUACCGAAGCUGUGGAUUGUCCUUUGGACAAUGGUAGGAGAGCGUUCUAAGGGCGUUGAAGCAUGAUCGUAAGGACAUGUGGAGCGCUUAGAAGUGAGAAUGCCGGUGUGAGUAGCGAAAGACGGGUGAGAAUCCCGUCCACCGAUUGACUAAGGUUUCCAGAGGAAGGCUCGUCCGCUCUGGGUUAGUCGGGUCCUAAGCUGAGGCCGACAGGCGUAGGCGAUGGAUAACAGGUUGAUAUUCCUGUACCACCUAUAAUCGUUUUAAUCGAUGGGGGGACGCAGUAGGAUAGGCGAAGCGUGCGAUUGGAUUGCACGUCUAAGCAGUAAGGCUGAGUAUUAGGCAAAUCCGGUACUUGUUAAGGCUGAGCUGUGAUGGGGAGAAGACAUUGUGUCUUCGAGUCGUUGAUUUCACACUGUCGAGAAAAGUCUCUAGAUAGAAAAUAGGUGCCCGUACCGCAAACCGACACAGGUAGUCAAGAUGAGAAUUCUAAGG